GGGUGGGUCAGCUCAGUGGUUAGAGCUUAGGCCUUGUGACCAGAAGCUGCUGGGUUCGAAUCUCACCAGAUGCA
rnacentral:tRNA from 1 species